GAAUUGCUGAGGAGUCCCACAAUGGGAGGAAACGGCCGUUCAUUGC
rnacentral:hammerhead_ribozyme from 1 species